GACGAACGCUGGCGGCGUGCUUAACACAUGCAAGUCGAACGCUGAAGACCUGGCUUUUGUUGGGUUGGAUGAGUGGCGAACGGGUGAGUAACACGUGAGUAACCUGCCCUCUUCUUUGGGAUAACGCCCGGAAACGGGUGCUAAUACUGGAUAUUCACUGGCCUUCGCAUGGGGGUUGGUGGAAAGGUUUGUUCUGGUGGGGGAUGGGCUCGCGGCCUAUCAGCUUGUUGGUGGGGUGAUGGCCUACCAAGGCUUUGACGGGUAGCCGGCCUGAGAGGGUGACCGGUAACAUUGGGACUGAGAUACGGCCCAGACUCCUACGGGAGGCAGCAGUGGGGAAUAUUGCACAAUGGGCGAAAGCCUGAUGCAGCGACGCCGCGUGAGGGAUGGAGGCCUUCGGGUUGUAAACCUCUUUCGCUCAUGGUCAAGCCGCAACUGUGGGUUGUGGUGAGGGUAGUGGAUAAAGAAGCGCCGGCUAACUACGUG
rnacentral:rRNA from 1 species